ensembl:lncRNA novel transcript
UUUCCCCAGGAUGAAGAAUGAGGCCACACUGCCAAAGCAAGAUCUCGUGCUAUGUGUGAUUGAAUCUCCUGCUGGGCGCCAAGCAGGAAUCUCAUCAUUUCCCCACAGGCCCUGAGAGCACACAGGCCUCAUCCCCACCCCACCACAGUGCAGUGCACUCACUGCAGAGCCAAUGAGGCCUGAGCUCAGGGUCUGCGUCUGCCUGCAUCUGCAUGGCCACUUCCAUCUGUGGUACUUGUUAGUUUAUUUUAAAUGUGCGAUUUGUUUGGUUGCAUUUUCUCCUUCUAAAUAUACAGUAGUUUUUGCA